rnacentral:tRNA from 1 species
GGGGUUGUAGCAUAGUGGCUAGAGCGUUGGACUCACAACUGAAAGGUUGGAGGUUCGAUUCCCGAUCCCA